CAAUAGCGUAUAUUAAAGUUGUUGCGGUUAAAAAGCUCGUAGUUGGAGUUCUGCCAGGUGACACUCGUCCGCCCAAGUGGUGUGUACAGGGUGUGCAUCUGGCCCUUUCAAGGGGAACGUGUCUGCACUUCAUUGUGUGGUGCGAGAUCCUUGACUUUUACUUUGAGGAAAUAAGAGUGUUCCAAGCAGGCUCUCGUCGUGCAUAGCUCAGCAUGGAAUAAUAGCAUUGGACUUCGUUUCUACGCUGUUGGUUGCAAGAAGCGAGGUAAUGAUGAAGAGGGAUAGUUGGGGGCAUUCGUAUUUAACUGUCAGGGGUGAAAUUCUUGGAUUUGUUAAAGACGGACUACUGCGAAAGCAUCUGCCAUGGAUGUUUUCAUUGA
rnacentral:rRNA from 1 species